UUCAGCUUCCUCUCUCCUUCCUCCUUUCAUGGCUCGAGGUAGAAAGCGGCGCCGACCGGAGACUGUUACGGAGGGUCGGGACACUGAAGGGAACCUCGAUAAUACUGAAACCAAGCCCCGGGUUGGCCAUGGAGGGACUGAAGUUGGAAUAAUUGACAAGGGUUUUUUGGGCGACGGCGAAAACGAGGUGCAAUGGGGGGCGAGGACAGAAGAGGGGGAUGGAGGAUUGGUUUCGGAAAGUAAACACGGCGAAACCCUGCUGCGGAAUGAAGGGGAGUACAAUGGUGAAGAGCAGAAGGGUUCUGUUGCUGGGAAAAACGGCGAAUUAGAAUGUGAGGUUUCUAUCAGAAGUCCGACGAGGAGUUUGAGAAAGAAGGCGAGAGUUUCGUACAACGAGGAGGUUUACGAGUUUGAUGAGGAUGAUGACGAAGAGGAGAUUCCUUUCAAGAAGCCUGGGCGAAGGGGUAGGAAAAAGAAAGUAUUGUCUUCGAAUCGGAAUGUACCUAACGUGGAAGAAAAACGGAGUCCUGCGAAUGAAGAAGAUGAUGUUAGGGAGAAAAAUUCUGGUGUUUCUGGAAAUAAGAGAGGUUCUUAUAGAAGGAAACGUGGUGGAAGAUAUGCGCUAAGAAAGCAAAGUGUUGUUAAGCCGGAGGGCGAGAAGAAAAUUAAUAAGUUUGAUCCCGAAUUCAUCGCGGAGAUAUCUUUAAUGUGCCAUCAGUGCCAGAGGAAUGAUAAAGGCCGUGUCGUACGUUGUACUAAUUGUAGGAGGAAGCGAUAUUGUAUCCCUUGUUUGCAGAAUUGGUACCCUCAUACAUCAGAAGAGGCAAUUGCAGAAUCUUGCCCGGUUUGCUCUGGGAAUUGCAAUUGUAAAGCAUGUUUGCGUUUAGAUGUUCCUGUUAAAAAUUUGAAGAACAUGGUACCAGUAGUCACAGAAGACAGCAAGGUUGAGCAUGCAAAAUAUGUACUACGUAAACUUCUACCAUUUCUAAAAUGGCUAAAUGAAGAACAGAUGUUGGAGAAAAAACAAGAGGCUACAAGGCUAGGUUUGCCUCUUCAUGAUCUAAAGGUGGAGAAGGUAGAUUGUGAAGACAACGAGCGAAUGUACUGCGACAUCUGUAGAACAUCAAUUUUUGAUUUUCAUCGAACGUGCAUUUCUUGUUCUUUUGACCUUUGUAUCAACUGUUGCCGGGAAAUCCGUGCAGGAGAUAUGCGGUGUUGUGAGAAAAAAAAGAUAAUACCAUAUAUUAAUCGAGGGUUUGAGUACUUGCAUGGUGAAGGGCCGAAAAAAGUAAAAAGAGAAAAAGCCAAAGCGCUUGCUGAGUCUUGUCCUAGAGAUGACGAGGAAUUAGCAUUCAUAUGGAGAGCAGAAAAAGAUGGAAGGAUUCCUUGUCCACCAUCCAACUUGGGUGGGUGUGGUAAUGGUUUUCUAGAGUUAAGAUGUAUAUUGGAAGAUUCAAUCUCAAAAUUGGUGGAUGAGGGUGAGGAAAUUGCUAGAACCCACAACAUAAUGGAUGUGGAUGAAACUGCAGGAAAGUGGUGCUCAUGCUUUAACUCGGCUGGUGAAGUUAAUCUUGAGAGUGGUAUGUUGAAGAAAGCUGCUUCCAGACAAGGUUCAAGUGAUAAUUAUUUAUAUUGUCCUAGGGGCAGGGAUAUUCAACCUGGCCAGAUAGAGCAUUUUCAGUGGCAUUGGAGCAAAGGUGAGCCGGUGGUUGUUAGCAAUGUUCUUGAAACUACAUCAGGUUUGAGCUGGGAACCCCUUGUCAUGUGGCGUGCCUUCCGUCAAAUUACGCAUACAAAACAUGGUCAACAGUUGGAAGUUAAGGCCAUUGAUUGCUUAGAUUGGUGUGAGCUUGAUGUCAAUAUCCACAAAUUCUUUACCGGUUAUACAGAUGGUCAGUUUGAUGCAAAAUUGUGGCCUCGGAUACUUAAACUCAAGGACUGGCCUCCAUCUAAUCAUUUUGAGAAAUGCUUGCCCCGUCAUAAUGCUGAAUUUAUCAGUUGCUUACCUUUUAAGGAAUAUACACAUCCUUCUAAAGGCAACCUAAAUCUUGCUGUUAAAUUGCCGGAAAAAUCUCUAAAACCUGAUAUGGGACCUAAGACAUAUAUUGCUUAUGGAGUUGCACAGGAGCUUGGUCGUGGGGAUUCUGUUACCAAGCUUCACUGUGAUAUGUCUGAUGCAGUAAAUGUUCUUACUCAUGCUACCAAUGUCACACUUGAGCCCGAGCAUUUACAUAGUAUUAAAGAAUUAAAAGCAAAACAUCUUGCACACGACCAGGAAGAAAUUUAUGGUGCUAUGACCGAUACUAAUAUUGUCGAUGGAAACAAGUUUUGCAAUGACCCCUGUAGCAUGACUGAAAAUGGAAAGGAACAUGUUUGUGAAGUUGGUCACCAAAACAAUAAUGAGGUCUUGGAGGAUGCAUCUAACCCUAAAAGAGGCGAUGAGGAAGAGGGCGAUCUUCGAAAUUUGAAUGAACACAAUGGAACUGAGCCUGAUGAGUCUGUAAAGGUGAAUCUAGCCGAAGAAACUUGUAGUGAAGCGAAAAUAUCAGAACAAAUGGAAAGUUUGGAGGCGUCUGAUGGUGGUGCACUGUGGGACAUUUUUCGUAGGCAAGACGUCCCCCUACUGCAGCAAUAUCUCAACAAGCAUUUCAGAGAAUUUAGGCACAUUCAUGCUGGUCCUGUUCCACAGGUGUUUCAUCCCGUGCAUGAUCAGUCAUUUUAUUUGACUUUGGAACACAAAAGAAAGCUCAAGGAGGAAUAUGGAAUUGAACCUUGGACAUUUGUCCAAAAUCUGGGAGAUGCUGUCUUUAUUCCUGCUGGGUGUCCUCAUCAAGUCAGAAACUUAAAGUCAUGCAUAAAGGUUGCUCUGGACUUUGUGUCACCUGAGAAUGUUGGAGAGUGCAUCCACUUGACUGAAGAAUUUCGUAGGCUUCCUUCAAAUCAUUGGGCUAAGGAGGACAAGUUGGAGAUCAAGAAAAUGAGUGUUUAUGCUAUGAAAGCGACAAUUGCUUGUUUGAAGGGAGAGAGCAAGUGAUGCAGACCAAGAUUUGCCUAAUUUAGGAUAUUUCUUAUGAGCCUCAGGGGUGAUCCUGUGACCAGAAGAGACUGUGCACAAGGUUUGGGUUGGUAUUAAGAGAUGUUUCAUCCUGAGCUUUUGUGAUGCCAACUAUUUUGUAACCAUAGAACUAUGCCCCAUACAUUUUGUAUGAUUCAUUGGCUCUUUUACUCCCAUGUAUGAUAUAGUUAAACAAUAACUUAUGCCGUUAUGUCAUUUAUCAGCGAUGAGAAUUCGGGUAUCGCUUUAGAUCUUUUUGGCAUUUUUUUGUAUAGCUAACAUUACUGCC
rnacentral:misc_RNA from 1 species